GCACGGCCGGGCGGGGCGGGGGCACGGGCAGCGCCGGGCCCGGGGGCGGGACGGGACCGCCCGGGACGCGGAGCGGCCAUGGGGAAGCUGCUGGCGGUGGCUCUGGUGGGGAUAGCGGCAGCCUUGGCGGCGGAGCGGCUGCUGGCUUUCCGGAACAGAUUCAAUGCUUCACGGGAAGUAGCCCCAGUGAGCCUCCCGAACUGCCGGCUCAUUAAAGGGAUCGAAACUGGUUCAGAAGACAUCGAUAUCCUUCCCAAUGGACUGGCUUUCAUCAGCUCUGGCUUGAAAUACCCAGGAUUAAAGAGCUUUGCUCCAGAUAAGCCAGGUGAAAUAUUUUUGAUGGAUUUGAAUGAAGACAAUCCCAGAGCAGUGGAACUGAGAAUCAGCCGAGGGUUUGAUCUGGCAUCGUUUAACCCUCAUGGAAUCAGCACCUAUAUAGACAGAGACGACACCGUGUACCUCUUCGUUGUGAACCAUCCCCACCAGAAGAGCACAGUAGAAUUGUUUAAAUUUGUAGAAGAUGACAAUUCUCUUGUACACCUGAAAACCAUUCGACAUGACCUUCUGACAAGUGUGAAUGAUAUAGUAGCCGUGGGACCAGACAGCUUCUAUGCUACCAAUGACCACUACUUCUCUGACUUCCUCUUGAUGUUCUUAGAAAUGUUCUUGGGUUUAACCUGGUCAAAUGUUGUUUACUACAGUCCAAAAGAAGUUAAAGAAGUAGCAUCUGGGUUUUAUUCAGCCAAUGGAAUUAACAUUUCACCUGAUAGAAAGUACAUCUAUAUUGCAGAUAUACUGGAUCACAGUGUAUAUGUCAUGGAAAAGCAUGCUAACUGGAGUUUAACCCAUGUGAAGAUGCUGCAGCUGGACACUCUGGUUGAUAACUUGUCUAUUGACCCUCACACUGGAGACAUCUGGGCAGGAUGUCAUCCCAAUGGGAUGAAGCUGUUCUACUAUGAUCCUGAAAAUCUUCCUGCAUCUGAGGUCCUGCGCAUCCAGAACAUCCUCUCGGAGGAGCCUGUGGUGACACGUGUCUACUCUGACAAUGGCUCUGUGCUGCAGGGAAGCUCAGUGGCAUCCAUCUACGAGGGAAAACUGCUCAUUGGCACAGUCUUCCACAGAGCUCUCUGCUGUGAUCUAUAGCUCGUCACGGGCAAGACCUGCUGCUGUGGAAAGGAUUUCAUUCCUUGGGAACUCACUUAGUUUCUGCUAGAUCUGCUAACAAGACUGUUCCAAUAAAGGUUAACUACAGUAAUGGAAAUGUAUUUUAGCCUUCCUCUCCAAAGUGAGACUUCUACACAAUAGUAAAGGACAUGGAAUUGAAGAAAAUCAAGACUGCCUUCACUCAUCACUGACUUUUUCCUGUUCUAAACUACUCCUGUGCUGAAGAUUUUCCCGUUGGUCUGCCUACAGAUGGAACCAUGAGCAAGCGAGAGGCCUUAUCUUUUCCAACAGUGUUUGAGAGGAGAGACAUCAUAGCUGCUGUUACUGACAGUGACCUUUUGGCCUGAGACCAGGAGGGCAGGAGCCCAUUGCCAAGCUCCCCCCAGGUAUCCCAGCCUUGCAGUGCAGAGGUGGGAAUUGGAGCAGUGUCCAGGUGGUGCUGGGCAGCAGAGCCAGCAAGCAGCUGGUGUGCAGCAAGAGCCACGCUGGGGCACAGCUUCUGCCUCCUGGCAGCCUCAGUGCAGAAACAGCUGCGGUGGAGGAUGCAGCUCCAGCCUGGCCUCCCAAUUACUAAGUAACCUGCACACCCAAAAUCCAGGCUUGCAAUCCCAAGGAGGGCACAACCCAUCAUCUUUAACACUCUGUGGAGACUGCAGCAGUUCUGGGCAUUUCUGAUGCCCAGCUGCUGCUAUCUGAGACAACCUGCACAAACAAGACAUAUGUACAGAUGGCUCCAGGCCUAGGGAGCUGCUGAGCAGACACAUUUUACACGUCAGCUGUGGACCCAGAGCAUCUUAGUAUAUGCAUUUUAAUUAAGAUAACGAUUUUAUGAAUUGAGGAUUCUUUUUAUCUUCUUGCAGGUGGUGCCCCUAUUAGUGGAAGGUAAGAUUUAUGAUUCAGUCAUUGGGAAACACAAACUGGGUUAGACAGAUUAAGUGCACACUGUUUGGCCUAGAUUCUGCCAGAUGUAAAUCCACUAAAAUGACUAUACAAAUUGCACAGUCUGUGCCCUUCGAUUUUCCCUAACUUAAUGCUUUACUAUAAUCAAAUAAAUAAAAGACUUAUUAAACAUAUACAGUAAAAGAACUGCCGUACUUUUGAAUGUAUAAGAUGCCCAUUAUAAAUAACCUACACUUAAGUGUAAAAUGUUUUUAUGUAACAAAAUCAAUCCAGAUCUUUUAAACACACAAACACUGACCAGUAUCAACGUGAAAGCAGCCUAUUUUUACAUCAACCUGCAGCAAAAGACUGCACGCUACACUUCACCUCCAUAUGAAGAAAAAAGACCAUUUUUUUUCCUUAAUAUAGAUAUAUAUAUAUUUUUUUACUUCUUUCUACAUAGUUACAGAGUGUAAAUGAGACCCACUUGGGGGCUUGUGAAUCAUGCCAAUUUGGCCAAGAACUGGAAUUAAAAUAAUCUUUGGCUGAGUAGAAGGAAGCAAGGAACAAGCAGGGCAAGGUAUAUAUUCCCCUGACCCACUAGCCUGACCCAUGCAGCUGUCUGAUUGUCCUCACCAUUUAUUAUUUCUUCUGGAACGACAAAGAAAAGGGCAGAAAAGGGAGGACUCAUUACAAAUUCUAAUAAAGAUUCAGGAUUUCUCUUUUUAUUGCAUUCGUUGUCUAACAACAAUAAUACUCAUUGGCAAGAAAUUUAUUUACACUAACAAAUUAACUUUAAACCACAAGGCUUUGUUGUUUGUAUUUCAACUGUAAGAAAACAAAGGGCCACCAUGAUGUUUUCUUUUGAUGUCUCCCAAUAACUAAAUAUCAAACAAAGUUAUCCUGGGGAAAACUCAACAAUCUAGAGAAGUUCAUAGCAACCAAGCACAAGAGAACAAGCUCAGACAUGGCACUACUGUGUCCUUCAUGCAGGUGAUCAGACACCAAGAUGUACAAACAAAAAGUUCAGGAUAACAUGCAUUUCAUAUACACUUGACCUCUUUAAAAAAAUAACAGAAAAAGGAAAAAAUCUGAAGCACAACUAUCUCUUCAACCAUAUAAAAAGAAGCAAUGUAAGAAGCCAAUUUUUACAGUAAGCACAGUGCAUUUUAGUCUUUUAGCUGCCUGGUCUUCUAGCAACAUGUGUACACUUCUAAGUGACCAGUGAGAUACCGCUGCAACAUGACUGGGAAAUAGGAAAGCAGUUGUUGGUUGAAUGUGUAUGGAAAAGUAUAGAGUCAGAAGAUGUUCACUGUGCACUCUUCACUUCCAAAUGGGCUGGUUACUCCUAUGUCUGGUGCCCUGAGAUCUCCCUUUCCUUGAGACACUUCUGCACAGGUCCCAAAUCCUCUUCCACUGGUGGCAGUGGCAAAGGUCCCACUGGAAACCCAGCAGGAGUCCCGGGCUCCGGGGCUGGAUCUGACCCUGUGAGCUGUGAGCCCUCCUCGCCUCUUUGGAAGAAGAGACCUGCCUAACUCAGCAGGUUUCACCAACAGCCUGUUCUUAACACAAUCCACACUUCCUAAAGAAACAGGCAGCCCAAGGCACUACCACCAAACUUCCUGUAAGAUGUGCAUUUUUUUAAUCAUUACUUAAUGCUAAAAGUGAAAGUACCAGUUGGUACAGCUGGUUAGUAACAGAAAGCUCAUUUCAUACUGAGGGUUUGGAGGGCUCAAUGUCAUGACUACGGUA